rnacentral:rRNA from 1 species
AGGGAAUCUUCCGCAAUGGGCGAAAGCCUGACGGAGCAACGCCGCGUGAGUGAUGAAGGUCUUCGGAUCGUAAAGCUCUGUUGUUAGGGAAGAACAAAUGUGUAAGUAACUGUGCACAUCUUGACGGUACCUAACCAGAAAGCCACGGCUAACUACGUGCCAGCAGCCGCGGUAAUACGUAGGUGGCAAGCGUUAUCCGGAAUUAUUGGGCGUAAAGCGCGCG